GUGCCCCUGACAAGCCCCGGCGCCCAGGCUCAGUGCUGCAGGUACUGGAGUGGCAUCUCUGAAAUCUGCUCUAAGCUGAACCCUAGCUCUACUCCUGAAGACAUUAAUCUGCGGCUGGAGCUGCAGAAUGAUAGGCUUCUGACGUCUAACCUGGCUGCCUUCCGGAUCAUCUCAAAGGAGAUCGUCAGUGGUUCUAAUGAGUCUUUAGUCGUCAGUAAAAAUUUGGAGGAG